UAUGUGUGUUUCAGAAUGCGCAAAUUUUCGUUACCUGAUAUAUACAAUUUUACACGCCACGUUUAUAUAUGUGAGGCCAUUAUAUGAUCUGACUUUCGAAUUAACACGAUUAGUCACAAUGAAAUGUUUUAUUGUUAUCUCUGCUUUCAUUGUUGGUAAUAUACGGAAAAUUAUUUCAGUAGUGUAUCACUAUUGAAUAACUCAAAAAGAAAAUGUGAAAUUUGUAGGUGUUACAACGCUACACAUUUGUUUUGAUAAAGCCAGCGUCCGGUGCCCACAUGCCAUUAAAAUGUAUCCUCUACGUGCACCAGACAUGUACUUCUGCAGACGGAUGCUUGCAAAUUACAAAUGUUUUGAAAAAAUAUCCGAUGAAUGCAGUAUUCGUUUCAAAAAUAUCUAUAUGAGAGCGUGCCGUUGUAUAGAAAUGUCCAUCAAAUUCAAGACUGAACGAGAAAUAUAUUUUGCAUCCAGUAAUACCAUUUCACAAAAUGUCUUACUGAUACUUAUUAUAUCGUUCUUGUUGUAAUAGAAGAGAAACACAUUUAUUUAUUUAUAGCGCUAAAUAGAUUUACAUUCUUCAUUGGUCUCGAUGUGACAGAGGCGUGAAGAUCUCAAUAAGGUGCUACUACAGUAAAAUUUUGCGACAACACAGCCGUAAAAUUAUGCAGGACUGCUUUAAAAACAUUUCCUAUACGUAAGAAAGAUGAAGACUAUUGCAGGCGCCUUAUUCUAUUUCAAAAUUGUUUUAACGACAUUUUCCAGCAGUGUCAAUUCUAUUUUCGAGACCUCUAUAGAAAGAAGUGCAAAUCUCAGGGAGCUCACAAAUCUGCAUCCAACGUAGAUCGCUCAGACUAUAUUAGCAGAAUUAGCACAUUAUUGGUACUUAUGACCACGUUGUUGUGAUGGUAUAGAAAUUCAACUGACAUCCAUGUGAAUAUCCUUUAAGCAAGCAGUAUUUUUAAAACUUUGAGUUUCUGUGACACUUAAUCAGAAACCAUAUAGAAAUAAAAAAUAUAUUUCAUUAUAA
rnacentral:lncRNA from 1 species